GGAGUUUGGUCCGUGUCUCAGUACCAAUGUGGGGGACCUUCCUCUCAGAACCCCUACUGAUCGUCGCCUUGGUGGGCCGUUACCCCGCCAACAAGCUAAUCAGACGCAUCCCCAUCCUAUAGCGGUGAACCUUUGGUGUUCGUCAGAUGUCCUCAAAACACAACAUAGAGCAUUAAUUCGACUUUCGCCGGGCUAUUCUCUACUAUAGGGAAGGUUGGAUACGCGUUACUCACCCGUGCGCCGGUCGCCAUCUGGAAUAGCAAGCUAUCCCAAUGCUGCCCCUCGACUUGCAUGUGUUAAGCCUGUAGCUAGCGUUCAUC
rnacentral:rRNA from 1 species